AGUUAGAUAAGUUUAAACUUACUUUUAAGACCACAACUUAAUAUUCUUUAUAAAUUAAUCUAAC
rnacentral:tRNA from 1 species